GCCUGUUUUCACGGAGGGAAAAAUCAGACAUUUAUCAGCUGCCAGUUCAAAUGCCUUUUUAACAAGUCUCUCCCUCAUAAAACUCCAUUCACACUCUGAGAGCCAAAAAGCGGAGUGGAACCUCCCAUAGCCACAGCCAUAGUAAAAUCCUCUGCCAAGGUGUGCUAUUUUUCAAUCACCAGCAUUUUUGCGAAGCUAAGAAGAAAAAAAAGAAAAACGGCGACUACACUACAGCAGACUUGGCUGGAGUCCGGUGAACUCUAGAAGUGGAGGAUUUUUGGAUGUUUUCCACCAUUUCUUCAGCACUAUGCCAUAAACAUACAGACGGGAUACCA